UACGUAGGGUGCGAGCGUUAUUCGGAAUUACUGGGCGUAAAGCGUGCGCAGGCGGCUCGUUAAGUCAGGUGUGAAAGCCCCGAGCUUAACUUGGGAAUUGCGCUUGUGACUGGCGUGCUGGAGUGUGGCAGAGGGAGGUGGAAUUCCACGUGUAGCAGUGAAAUGCGUAGAUAUCUGGAGGAACACCGGUGGCGAAGGCGGCAUCCUGGACCGGCAUUGACGCUGAGGCGCGAAAGCCAGGGGAGCAAACGGG
rnacentral:rRNA from 1 species